GCCUGCCCCGGUAACAGCGGCCUGAGAACCCCGCCAGGCCCGGAAGGGAGCAACGGUAUCGGUGAUCGCUGUGUACCGGGGUAUUUCAG
rnacentral:SRP_RNA from 1 species